UACGGAGGGUGCAAGCGUUAUCCGGAUUCACUGGGUUUAAAGGGUGCGUAGGCGGGUUGGUAAGUCCGUGGUGAAAUCCCGGGGCUUAACUCGGAAACUGCCGUGGAUACUAUUGGUCUUGAAUAUCGUGGAGGUAAGCGGAAUAUGUCAUGUAGCGGUGAAAUGCUUAGAUAUGACAUAGAACACCAAUUGCGUAGGCAGCUUACUACACGAUCAUUGACGCUGAGGCACGAAAGCGUGGGGAGCAAACAGG
rnacentral:rRNA from 1 species